rnacentral:rRNA from 1 species
CCUACGGGCGGCUGCAGUGGGGAAUAUUGGUCAAUGGGCGAAAGCCUGACCCAGCAACGCCGCGUGAAGGAAGAAGGCUUUCGGGUUGUAAACUUCUUUUUACAGGGAAGAGCAGAAGACUGUACCUGUCGAAUAAGCCACGUCUAACUCCUUGCCAACAGCCGCGGUAAUACGUAGGUGGCAAGCUUUUUCCGGAUUUACUGGGUUUAAAGGGCGUGUAGCGGGGCUGACAAGUCAGAUGUGAAAUCCGGGGGCUCAACCCCAGAACUGCAUUUGAAACUGUCGGUCUUGAGUAUCGGAGAGGCAGGCGGAAUUCCUGGUGUAGCGGUGAAAUGCGUAGAUAUUAGGAGGAACACC